UUAGGAAAGUGAAAUUUUAAACCACUAGAUGAUUUCUUUUUCAGGCCCAGAUGAAUUUACUCGUUUAAUUACUUCGGAGAUUAUAUCAAGGACCAUAAACAAUAGAUGUGUAAAUUACAAAUUUGAUAUGAUUAAAGGCCUUUAUGACCAAGUACUUCCCUCAAGAAGCCUAAACUGAUUGAAGGGAUGUUUUAUUCAUAUCUAGUUAAAGCAAGAAUCAACUUUCUACGCAUCUGUGGUUGUAGUGGAGGCAUAUGUAAAGUUCAGGUCUGCAAUUAUGGUGACCAGUAGAUUAGAAUGGUGAACAAUGGUAUUUAGGAAUUUG
rnacentral:misc_RNA from 1 species